rnacentral:misc_RNA from 1 species
AGUGCACCAGUAUGCGCAUAACGCGCAGCAGACAGCUCGCUUUUGUUGGGGGAACUUGAAGCGCAGAAGCCAACUCCGGAAGGGUAAUAGGUUUGUCAUGUUUAUGAAUUAUGUCAGGAAUUCCUAGCUGAACAGCACAUUUUAGAGACAUGGAUUCUAAAUAGUGGUACAUGUGUUUAUAAAUAUGACACUGAGCUUGAAACAACUCAUUCGCUCCAAGCUCUUGAUCUAACUCCAUCUCAAGUUUCCCAAUUUCCA